UACGUAGGGUGCGAGCGUUGUCCGGAAUUACUGGGCGUAAAGAGCUCGUAGGUGGUUUGUCGCGUUUGUUCGUGAAAACCUGAGGCUUAACCUUGGGCGUGCGGGCGAUACGGGGCAGACUGGAGUACUGCAGGGGGAGACUGGAAUUCCUGGUGUAGCGGUGGAAUGCGCAGAUAUCGGGAAGAACACCCGUGGCGAAGGCGGUUCUCUGGGACGGUACUGACGCUGAGACGCGAAAGCGUGGGGAGCGAACAGG
rnacentral:rRNA from 1 species